rnacentral:rRNA from 1 species
AUUGAACGCUGGCGGAAUGCUUUACACAUGCAAGUCGAACGGCAGCACGGACUUCGGUCUGGUGGCGAGUGGCGAACGGGUGAGUAAUACAUCGGAACGUGCCCAGUCGUGGGGGAUAACGUAGCGAAAGCUACGCUAAUACCGCAUACGAUCUAAGGAUGAAAGCGGGGGAUCGCAAGACCUCGCGCGAUUGGAGCGGCCGAUGGCAGAUUAGGUAGUUGGUGGGGUAAAGGCCUACCAAGCCGACGAUCUGUAGCUGGUCUGAGAGGACGACCAGCCACACUGGGACGGAGACACGGCCCAGACUCCUACGGGAGGCAGCAGUGGGGAAUUUUGGACAAUGGGCGCAAGCCUGAUCCAGCCAUUCCGCGUGCAGGAUGAAGGCCCUCGGGUUGUAAACUGCUUUUGUACGGAACGAAACGGUGCUGGUUAAUACCCGGCGCUAAUGACGGUACCGUGAGAAUAAGCACCGGCUAACUACGUGCCAGCCGCCGCCGUAA